GUUAUGUAAGCGCCAGUGACAGGAGCGGGCCUCCAGCGGCGGAGUUGAAAGUGGGGGACAGCGGGGGACCGAAAGGCCGGGAAUUCAAAGAGGUCAGACGCCAUCUCUAUGAAGCUCCUUCUGAUCACCUAGCAGAGAAGGGAGCUCAUUUUCUCCUUCAGUAGCCAUUUCUUCUAAGAGGAUUAGGAGAAACCUCAGAGGAUGUGGCAUCUGAGUUGAUUGUGAAGAGGGUUAUUGUGAGGUUUAAAUGAAAAGCCUUCCAUAAAGUGCCCAGGAAGAUACCAGCAAAACAGCAGGCACUGAAAUGACACACAGACUAUUCU